rnacentral:rRNA from 1 species
UACGGGGGGAGCAAGCGUUGUUCGGAUUUACCGGGCGUAAAGGGCGCGUAGGCGGCGUGGUAAGUCACUUGUGAAAUCUCCGGGCUUAACUCGGAACGGUCAAGUGAUACUGCUGUGCUAGAGUGCGGAAGGGGCAACUGGAAUUCUCGGUGUAGCGGUGAAAUGCGUAGAUAUCGAGAGGAACACCUGCGGCGAAGGCGGGUUGCUGGGCCGACACUGACGCUGAGGCGCGAAAGCUAGGGGAGCGAACGGG